rnacentral:tRNA from 1 species
ACGCUCGUUCAGGCGUUCAACGUCCGAACCUGACCGACACCUCUCCGACACUUCCUAAACCGGGGGUCGUGGGUUCGAAUCCCGCCGGGCGUG